CACGUAGUUAGCCGUGGCUUUCUGAUUAGGUACCGUCAAGAUGUGCACAGUUACUUACACAUUUGUUCUUCCCUAAUAACAGAGCUUUACGAGCCGAAACCCUUCAUCACUCACGCGGCGUUGCUCCGUCAGGCUUUCGCCCAUUGCGGAAGAUUCCCUACUGCUGCCUCCCGUAGGAGUCUGGACCGUGUCUCAGUUCCAGUGUGGCCGAUCACCCUCUCAGGUCGGCUACGUAUCGUCGCCUUGGUAAGCCGUUACCUUACCAACUAGCUAAUACGGCGCGGGUCCAUCUAUAAGUGAUAGCAAAACCAUCUUUCACUUUAGAACCAUGCGGUUCUAAAUGUUAUCCGGUAUUAGCUCCGGUUUCCCGAAGUUAUCCCAGUCUUAUAGGUAGGUUACCCACGUGUUACUCACCCGUCCGCCGCUAACUUCAAAGGAGCAAGCUCCUUAUCUGUUCGCUCGACUUGCAUGUAUUAGGCACGCCGCCAGCGUUCAUCCUGAGCCAGGAUCAAACUCU
rnacentral:rRNA from 1 species